CCUACGGGUGGCAGCAGUGAGGAAUAUUGGUCAAUGGGCGAGAGCCUGAACCAGCCAAGUCGCGUGAAGGAUGACGGCCCUACGGGUUGUAAACUUCUUUUGUCAGGGAGCAAUUGGGUCCACGCGUGGGCUUAGCGAGAUUACCUGAAGAAAAAGCAUCGGCUAACCCCGUGCCAGCAGCCGCGGUAAUACGGAGGAUGCGGGCGUUAUCGGGAUUUAUUGGGUUUAAAGGGUGGUUAGGAGGAAUAUAAAGUAGGCGGUAAAAAUUCGGGGCUAAACCCCGUCGUGCAGUGGAAACUGAUGUUCUUGAGUGGGCGAGAAGUAUGCGGAAUGCGUGGUGUAGCGGUGAAAUGCAUAGAUAUCACGCAGAACUCCGAUUGCGAAGGCAGCAUACCGGCGCCCAACUGACGCUGAAGCACGAAAGCGUGGGUAUCGAACAGGAUUAGAUACCCCAGUAGUC
rnacentral:rRNA from 1 species